rnacentral:rRNA from 1 species
UACGUAGGUGGCAAGCGUUGUCCGGAUUUACUGGGUGUAAAGGGCGUGCAGCCGGGCUGACAAGUCAGAUGUGAAAUCCCGCGGCUCAACCGCGGAACUGCAUUUGAAACUGUCAGUCUUGAGUACCGGAGAGGUCAUCGGAAUUCCUUGUGUGGCGGUGAAAUGCGUAGAUAUAAGGAAGAACACCAGUGGCGAAAGCGGCUCUCUGGUCUGUAACUGACGCUGAGGUUCGAAAGCGUGGGUAGCAAACAGG